GGAUGCGAUCAUACCAGCAGUAAAGCACCGGAUCCCAUCAGAACUUUGAACUUAAGCGUGCUUGGGCGACAGUAGUACUAGGAUGGGUGACCUCCUGGGAAGUCCUCGUGUUCCAUUCC
rnacentral:rRNA from 1 species